GUCCGCGCGCGCGGGGCGGCCGCGGCGGUGAGCCUGCGCGUCAGGGCCGCCGGCCUCUCCUUGGCUGUUGGAGGUGAUAGGGGUCGAGGGGAGGGAAAAAGGGGCUGGCGUCAGCCGCCCCUGUGAGGUGGCCGUAGCGUGGACGAGUAAGAAGGGUUGAGUAAAGUGGACAAACACCUGGUUAGGAGAAGAGGGCAGGCCCGCAGCCGCCCUCCGGAGGAGGACUCGGGGCCUCGCGGGCGCCGGAGGAGGUUCCUGGGCCUCGGAGGGCCGCCCCGGCGCGCCGCCCCGGCGCGAGCGGGCGCGGGCGGGGGAGGGGAAGUGAGAGGUUGUUUAUGACCGGGGACUAAUCUCCUCCGCGAGUCCCAGCGCUCCCUCUGGGGAGUGCGGUUGAGGGGCUGUCCUCGCACGGAGCCUCGCUCGGCCUCGGGGGAGCCACGAGAGGUGGGAGUUGGACCCGCAGCGGGCCAGGAGCCCUGUCAUUGGAGGACCCGCCAAAAAGGAAGCAAACCCUCUUUUUCUUUAUCCAACCCCAAAUAGCUAGGGCCUAGGGGGAAGACUCACAUAUCGAUAAAUGGUUUGUUGCCCGUUUUAUUCUCUGGGAAAUACAACUGAUCUUACCAAAGAAAUAACCUGUCUCUUGCCGUGUUUACUUAGAGCCAUAGAAUACCUGUUUCAGAGCUGAAGGGGACCUGAGCCCAUGAUAAUCCAUUACCUCGUGAGAAAGCGGAAAAACUGACUUCAGCUUGCCCAGAUGGCGCAGAGAAUGGGUUUCCCGUAACCCCGCCUGUGUCUUUCCUUCAGCCUCGUCCCAAAUGCCGUGGGAGGGAAGGCACUCUCUGUCAAGCUGCUGUCACCUUACCUGAAGUAAGGAGUCCACGCCUGCAUGUCCGAGGAAAACAGUUUUCUCAAACACAUUAGUUGAAAAACUGAAGACGCUGCCUAAAAUACAAGCUGAGUUAGAGACAGCCCUUGUAAGACUAGAAAAAGAAAUGGAAACUAAGUAACAUGAAUUAACAUAGUCCAGGGUCACAAAGCAACAUGGAACAAGAACCUGGAUCUGAAUUCAGAGGCAGAAUGCUGGAAAGCCAGUUAAACAUUUACUAGCACACCACUAGGCAUAGACAGACUGAAGCAACCUCUUAAGGUGGUAGCUAAGAGAACUCACACCCAGACCCUACUCUCUCAAGGCAGAGGGAGGACGAAACUCAACCAGGAAGCCAGAGAACACAGGAGCCACUCUACAUGCUCUACACAAACCAUCCCCUGGAAAAGAUAGCAGGGUACAGACUAGAACCGCAUAGUAAGGCUACCUAUCAUGAAUGCACUCCUGCCUGGGUGACAGAAUGGCUCUCCAGUGUCUUCUUCAAGCAAGUGUGUCGACAGUGAUUCAAGUAACUGAAAGAGAAACCAACAAAGUAUCAUUUGUCGCAAUAUCUCAAUUAUUCUCUUUUAACCAUCCUUAUCACUCUUGAUUUUCC
rnacentral:lncRNA from 1 species